GGACAGCUAGCUCAGCUGGUAGAGCAACGGACUCUUAAUCCGUAGGUCCAGGGUUCGAACCCCUGACUGUCCACUA
rnacentral:tRNA from 1 species